GGGGAAUAUUGGACAAUGGACCAAGGGUCUGAUCCAGCAAUUCUGUGUGCACGAUGAAGUUUUUCGGAAUGUAAAGUGCUUUCAGUUGGGAAGAAAGAAAUGACGGUACCAACAGAAGAAGUGACGGCUAAAUACGUGCCAGCAGCCGCGGUAAUACGUAUGUCACGAGCGUUAUCCGGAUUUAUUGGGCGUAAAGCGCGUCUAGGUGGUUAUAUAAGUCUGAUGUGAAAAUGCAGGGCUCAACUCUGUAUUGCGUUGGAAACUGUAUAACUAGAGUACUGGAGAGGUAAGCGGAACUACAAGUGUAGAGGUGAAAUUCGUAGAUAUUUGUAGGAAUGCCGAUGGGGAAGCCAGCUUACUGGACAGAUACUGACGCUGAAGCGCGAAAGCGUGGGUAGCAAACAGGAUUAGAUACCCUGGUAGUCCACGCCGUAAACGAUGAUUACUAGGUGUUGGGGGUCGAACCUCAGCGCCCAAGCAAACGCGAUAAGUAAUCCGCCUGGGGAGUACGUACGCAAGUAUG
rnacentral:rRNA from 1 species